AUUGAACGCUGGCGGCAGGCCUAACACAUGCAAGUCGAGCGAGCGGCGGACGGGUGGGUAAUGUAUGGGGGCUGACCGAUAGAGGGGGAUCACUACUGGAAACAGUGGCUCAUACCGCAUAUUGCCGGAUGACCCAUAUGGGAUGAGCUAGUAGGUAUGGUAAUGGCUUACCGAGGCGACGAUCCCUCGCUGGUCUGAGAGGAUGAUCAGCCACACUGGAACUGAGACACGGCCCAGACUCCUACGGAGGCAGCAGUGGGGAAUAUUGCACAAUGGGCGAAAGCCUGAUGCAGCCAUGCCGCGUGUAUGAAGAAGGCCUUAGGGUUGUAAAGUACUUUCAGUCGGGAGGCGUUACCGGCAGAAGAAGCACCGGCUAACUCCGUGCCAGCAGCCGCGGUAAUAC
rnacentral:rRNA from 1 species